GGGUCACUUUGCACACCCAUGUGCUCCCCAAUGCAUAGGAUACAGCACAGCGUGCACCGUGCCGCAGUGCUGCUGAUAGCACUGCACAUUAACAAGCUGUGAGCAGAGUUGGGGUGCUGGUAUGUACAGCCCAGAUCCUCACCUCACCCCAGAAUACAGGAGGAGGGGGGACAGCUGUCACCACCACCACCACUGCCUGUCACUGGGGCAGGGCUUGGGGAACCCAUCCAGAGGAAAGGGUGUGCCCCCAAAGCACAACGGGCAGGCAGCAGAAAUGAAACCGUCCCCACCGUCCCCAUAGCAUCACCCCAAGGGCAAGGUGCUGCCUGUCACCUCCCCUGGGGACCCGGCCGGGUGUGAGCCCAGCUCACCACAGGUCACCGCAGGUGGGGACGGUGUCACCGCAGCCGUGAUGCCACGACCCAGAGGAUGGAAGCUGGGGAAAAGCUGGGGCUGAGCUCUGGGGCUGCAUGAAGGCUGUGAAGUGUGAGCGAGGCCAGGCAGCCGUAUUUCCUGGCUGAGGGCUGUAAAUCCCCAUAGACGAGGAGACAGGGGCUGUUCAUUUUGUGACAGAGCUCCAUGAAUCAGCACUGCUGCUGUCUGCACCCCACAGCCUCCUGCUGCCUGGCACACCCCAUGUCAGCAUCCUGUCCCAAAGCCCCUCUGCUUGGGGAUCAGGGAGCGAACAGGGGCUUGGGGAUGUUCUGCAGCCCCAGAGCUGCAAUAAGGGCUGAUCCUGGCACUAUGACUCAGAGGGCAGAGCUUUAAUCCAAUGGGGAAACACAAGUGGCCCUAGCCGCUGGAACAGCAACUUGUCCCCUCUCUGGCUACAAACAAGCUACAUGUUUUUGACAACAGCUCUGCAUCUCUUUCCCUGGUCUGGGUGGAGCUCCCCGCUGCACCAAGUUCCCGUGUGAAAACCUGUGGUUAACCUCAGAACUGCACAGCUGGGCCUUGGGGCCGGGGCUGGAUCAGUUGGGGCACAGAUGACACAGCAGUGAGCCCAGUGUCCCCUUUGGAUCCUUGGGCUCUCCAGGCACUGUAGGGCCAUCACAGUGCACACAGGUGAUGCUGAGAGCUGUCCUCAUCCAUGUCUACAUCCCUGUCCUCAGUUCUUUCAGUGCUGGUGCAGGAAACCUGCAAGUGUGUGGUACAGCAUGGGCCUGGGGGGGUUGGUCUGAAAGCACAGGUGGUCUCCCACCACCAUGUAAAUCUUCCCAAAGGGUUUAGCAUGGCUUCUAUUGGGUUGAGCAGCUUCAUAGCAGAGCUCUCUAGUGACAGUGUAAUGCACAGAGGGCUGACAGCGUGCCUGGUAAAUCUUUGUGAAGCCUUUGCAAACACAAAUACUUGGUGUAAUCCACUGAAGGGGGAACGUGCUGGGGUAGUUGUUGGGCUGCUGAAGUGGCUCUGCAAUCAGGAUGCAGCUACAUGAGCAGAGGUGAUGCUCUGCAGAGCAGGGCAGGGAGGAAGGAAACCAGGAGGGAGGGAAGGAAGGCUGCAGGGAGCUGUGCUGCUGCCUCUGCUCAGGUGCAGGCAGGAUAGAAACUGCCUGCAGCACUGCUGCCCACUUCCUGCUUCUGCUGCACAGGCAACAUGCAAGUCCCAGCCCUGUGCAUGCCCCAGCUCCACGUGCAUGCCCCAGCCCUGCUGUUUGAGUGUGCAGCCGGGCCCGUUCAGCCCAGCCACAGGCUGAUGGCAUGAACUCUGAUGCAUGCAGUCCCCACACCAUGACUGGGAUGCUGCUGGGGCCCUGCCUUCACCUGCAGCUCCUGAAGGCGGCCCAGCCCAAACCAGUUAAUUAUCACUGCUGUCUGUGGGCAAUUACCCACCUCACCUCCUGCACUGCCCUCCUGUCCUGCACAGCCGCUGUCUCGUGGCAGCACCAGGCUGCAGCACACGCUCCUCAGCUGUGAGCUCAGCAAAUAAAUCAAUCCAUCAGCCUGUGUGAGCAGCUCAGACUGCCUGGCCUGGCUGCAGGGGCUAAUCCUGCUCAGGGGGAUUUGCUGGGAGGGUUUGCAUAGGAGAUAAAGCUACCGGGGUGUCCUACCCUAUAGUUAGGGCUUGUCUCUGCUCCCUGUUGGGAGUGGCAUUGGAGCAGCACAAUGUGGGGCUGCUGCUGAUCCCAGUGCUGCUCUUUGCCAGCACGGCCCAAGCUUGCUUUGCAGCCACACGGGGUGGAGCAAUCAGGUUUUGCUGCACCCAUGAUGAUUGCUGAGGUUUAAGCUGGUGGUUUAUUUCCCAAGGACGGUUUGGGGACUGGUUUUCCCUGAGUUUAGUGCUCUCUUCAAGGUGACGUUUCUAAAAGAACCUCCAGGUAGAGCUGCUCCAAUCCUCUUUGCCUUUGAUAACUAAAAGGUCAAAAGGUUGCUUUAGCUUUUCCAAAUCAAAAUCCUGCCCAGGAAACUUCUUCCUCCUGCUCACAAUCCGAAGCUGCAGCCCACGUGCUCAGCUUAGAGCUGUGUCCACCUGCAGAGCCCUUAUCCAGCCAUCAGACCGCAGCACCAACCCCUGCACCCAGCCACAGCUCAGCACGUCGAGAUUAUGUUUGUAGAUGGAAACCUCAGGCUGCCUUCCUCUAAAGGGAGUAGGACCCAACAGCACGCUGUUGACCUCAGCAUAUUAAAGCCCAGUGUUCAGAGCAGCUACUGCUCCAAACGUGAGCCAGGCCUGACAAAAGCAGAAGGGCAAACCCAGAGCCCAGCUGGGCAGUUUGGGCUGCAGGAGGUAAGGCUGGAAAAGCUGAGAGCCCCAGACUGCAGCCUUGGAGCCUUCUUGGUGGAAUGAGAAGAUUGCAGCUGGAAACGAAUUGCUGGUUUGAAUUGCUAAUAAUGAUAUAGACUAAUGAGCAACAUCAGAAAUGAUGGCAUGUGUAAUCAGUGCUGCUUGAUAGCAAACAUACAGCAGGUCUGCAGGAGCUACUGGCAUAGGGGGAAAGAGAGCAAGGAGUGUUUUGGAGAGGCAGAGCUCGGCCCCAAGCUGACAGAGCUGGCUCUGUCUGCAGGGUAAGAAGUUUGUAACUAAUGAUGAAAAGAAUAAAGCCAGACAGAUAUCAGCGCUGGGUAAUAGGAGAGAACGCGGGCAGCAAAUCUUUGAGGGGAAAUUGCCUCGGUGUGCUUCCUAACACCUGCAGGAAGCCCAUCUGUCUCGGGCUGUUCGGGGUUUGUCUCACAGCUGUGCCUGGGGCAGCUCCCACCCAGAACUGCCACCGAGAAACCCAGGUUCUUACACGAGUGUGGCCGAGGGGAGAAAGAACAUCCCCAGAGUGUCCACCUGCACCUCAUCCCUGCCUUAUGAACAGAUAAAUAGUGAGCAUACGUGGUAUCAAACCAGCGAUCCCUGGAGCUCUAAAAGGCUCAUCCCUUUGGUUCUCAUCCCUUUGGGUUGGGGACCCUUUUCCUGUCCUCAUCCCUAUGAUGUGGGGAUUUAUCUUAGGGGAUGGCAGCGGAGAAGAGGCAGCAGUUAGAAACGUCUCCUGCUUUCUUUAGUGAGGGCGUUUUACGUGCUUCCUAUCAGGUGUCCUCUUUCGAACUGACAAAGGGAAAGCUGUGCCAGUUCGCGAACCACUGCUACAUGAGCAAGGUAAGAGAAAGAAAAUCACCACCAUUACGAUCAUUACUGGGAAUCAUGUGCAAUCAGCCCGCUAACAGAAAGCAGACGAUCAUCCAGCAGGCAGCUCCAGCACGGGAAUUGGUGCUGAGCUGCAGGAGCUGUGAACCACACCGCGAUUAAAGAGCUCCUAACGAUGCUGUUUAGCGUCGCUUUCACCUUUUUUCUUUCCGAUUCCCUCAACCUCUUCUCCGGAUUUUACGGCCGAGCGAAGGAGAUUUGCUCGCACCUUUCCGAGCACACACACACACCUCGUAUCCCCGCUGCCCGCCCCGUCCCGCUGCCGUCGGUGGGUACGGAGCUGCCCCGGUGCCGUAACGCAGCGCUCGGGGCGGCCCCGCGGCCUCCGCUCGUUUCUCCGUUUGCCCGAACCGAGGGGAAAUUGCACCAAAUCGGGCUCGUCUCCUGAGCGUUAUUGCGAGCAUUAAAGCGGUUUGUGCUCGGCUUGUCUCCUCUGGCAACAGGAGAAGCUUGAAAUGUCAAAGGGGAGGGUUAACAAACUCCGCCGGCAUCAAUUUCAAUGAAUGGAUGUUUCUUAGGAAAACCGCUAAGUUAAAAAAAAUAAAAAAUUAAAAAAAAAAAAAAGAAA